UGGAAGGGGGGUGCUAUAAUGCAGUCGACGCUUCUUUCCUCCCGAGUGCUUGCACUCAAUUGGAAAGAGGAGUGGCGGACGGGUGAGUAACACGUGGGUAACCUACCCAUCAGAGGGGGAUAACACUUGGAAACAGGUGCUAAUACCGCAUAACAGUUUAUGCCGCAUGGCAUAAGAGUGAAAGGCGCUUUCGGGUGUCGCUAAGGGAUGGGACUCCCGCGAGGUGCCAUUUAGGCUUAGUUUGGGUGGAGGUAAACCGGCUCCACCCAAAGGCCCCACGGAUGCCAUUAGCCGGACCCUGGAGGAGGGGUGAUUCGGGCCCACACCUGGGGACUUGAAGACACCGGCCCCCAGAAUUCCUUACGGGGAGGCCAGCCAGUUAGGGAAUCUUUCGGCCAAAUGGAACGAAAAGUUCUGACCCGAGCAAACGCCCGCGUGAAGUGAAAGAAAGGUUUUUCGGAUUCGUAAAAACUCCUGUUGUUAGAGAAGAACCAAGGACGUUUAGUAAACUGAACGUCCCCCUGACGGUAUCUUAACCAGAAAAGCCACGGCUAACUACGUGCCAGCAGCCGGCGGUAAUACGUAGGUGGCAAGCGUUGUCCGGAUUUAUUGGGCGUAAAGCGAGCGCAGGCGGUUUCUUAAGUCUGAUGUGAAAGCCCCCGGCUCAACCGGGGAGGGUCAUUGGAAACUGGGAGACUUGAGUGCAGAAGAGGAGAGUGGAAUUCCAUGUGUAGCGGUGAAAUGCGUAGAUAUAUGGAGGAACACCAGUGGCGAAGGCGGCUCUCUGGUCUGUAACUGACGCUGAGGCUCGAAAGCGUGGGGAGCAAACAGGAUUAGAUACCCUGGUAGUCCACGCCGUAAACGAUGAGUGCUAAGUGUUGGAGGGUUUCCGCCCUUCAGUGCUGCAGCAAACGCAUUAAGCACUCCGCCUGGGGAGUACGACCGCAAGGUUGAAACUCAAAGGAAUUGACGGGGGCCCGCACAAGCGGUGGAGCAUGUGGUUUAAUUCGAAGCAACGCGAAAAACCUUACCAGGUCUUGACAUCCUUUGACCACUCUAGAGAUAGAGCUUUCCCUUCGGGGACAAAGUGACAGGGUGGUGCAUGGGUUGUCGUCAGCUUCGUGUCCUGGAGAUGUUGGGUUUAAGUCCCGCAACGAGGCGCAACCCUUUAUUGGUUAGUUUGCCAUCAAUUAAGUUGGGGCACUUCUAGCCGAGACUGCCCGGUGACAAAACCGGAAGGAAAGGGUGGGGAUUGACGUCCAAAUCAUCCAUGGCCCCUUAUUGAACUUGGGGCUACACCACCUGGGCUACAAUUGGGAAAGUACAACGAGUCGCUAGACCGCGAGGUCAUGCAAAUCUCUUAAAGCUUCUCUCAGUUCGGAUUGCAGGCUGCAACUCGCCUGCAUGAAGCCGGAAUCGCUAGUAAUCGCGGAUCAGCACGCCGCGGUGAAUACGUUCCCGGGCCUUGUACACACCGCCCGUCACACCACGAGAGUUUGUAACACCCGAAGUCGGUGAGGUAACCUUUUGGAGCCAGCCGCCUAAGGGGAAGGGGGGG
rnacentral:rRNA from 1 species